GACGAACGCUGGCGGCGUGCUUAACACAUGCAAGUCGAACGGAAAGGCCCUGCUUUUGUGGGAUGCUCGAGUGGCGAACGGGUGAGUAACACGUGAGUAACCUGCCCUUGACUUUGGGAUAACUUCAGGAAACUGGGGCUAAUACCGGAUAGGAGCUCCUGCUGCAUGGUGGGGGUUGGAAAGUUUCGGCGGUUGGGGAUGGACUCGCGGCUUAUCAGCUUGUUGGUGGGGUAGUGGCUUACCAAGGCUUUGACGGGUAGCCGGCCUGAGAGGGUGACCGGCCACAUUGGGACUGAGAUACGGCCCAGACUCCUACGGGAGGCAGCAGUGGGGAAUAUUGCACAAUGGGCGGAAGCCUGAUGCAGCAACGCCGCGUGCGGGAUGACGGCCUUCGGGUUGCAGACCGCUUUCGCCUGUGACGAAGCGUGAGUGACGGUAAUGGGUAAAGAAGCACCGGCUAACUACGUG
rnacentral:rRNA from 1 species